rnacentral:rRNA from 1 species
GACGAACGCUGGCGGCGUGCCUAAUACAUGCAAGUAGAACGCAGUUGCGAACGGGGGAGUAAAGCGUAGGUAACUGCCUCAUAGCGGGGGAUAACUAUUGGAAACGAUAGCUAAUAACGCCUACUGUUAGAUGGACCUGCGUUGUAUUAGCUAGUGGGUGGGGUAAAGGCUCACCAAGGCGACGAUACAUAGCCGACCUGAGAGGGUGCUCGGCCACACUGGGACGGAGACACGGCCCAGACUCCUACGGGAGGCAGCAGUAGGGAAUCUUCGGCAAUGGACGGAAGUCUGACCGAGCAACGCCGCGUGAUUGAAGAAGGUUUUCGGAUCGUAAAACUCUGUUGUCAGAGAAGCGGUAUCUAACCAGAAAGCCACGGCUAACUACGUGCCAGCAGCCGCGGUAAUUC